GAUGAACGCCGGCGGCGUGCUUAACACAUGCAAGUCGAGCGAGAAGUUUUGAAAAGAUUCUUCGGAUGAAAUUUAAAAUGGAAAGCGGCGGACGGGUGAGUAACGCGUAGGCAACCUGCCCCAUACAAAGGGAUAGCAUUUGGAAACGAAUAUUAAUACCUUAUGAAACUUAACUAGUGCAUGCUAGGUAGGUCAAAGAUUUAUCGGUAUGGGAUGGGCCUGCGUCUGAUUAGCUAGUUGGUGAGGUAACGGCUCACCAAGGCGACGAUCAGUAGCCGACCUGAGAGGGUGAACGGCCACAUUGGAACUGAGACACGGUCCAAACUCCUACGGGAGGCAGCAGUGGGGAAUAUUGCACAAUGGGGGAAACCCUGAUGCAGCAACGCCGCGUGAACGAUGAAGGCCUUUGGGUCGUAAAGUUCUGUUCUAGGUGAUGAAAACUGACAGUAACCUAGGAGAAAGCCCCGGCUAACUCCGUG
rnacentral:rRNA from 1 species